rnacentral:rRNA from 1 species
UACAGAGGUCUCGAGCGUUAGGCGGAAUCACUGGGCUUAAAGCGUGUGUAGGUGGAUCGUUAAGUACCUUGUGAAAUCCCACGGCUUAACCGUGGAACUGCUUGGUAUACUGGCGGUCUUGAGCCACUUAGGGGCUACCGGAACAAAUGGUGGAGCGGUGAAAUGCGUAGAUAUCAGGAGGAACACCGAUGGCGAAGGCAGAUCUCUGGGCCGUAACUGACGCUGAGGAGCGAAAGCGUGGGGAGCGAACAGG